GAGUUUGAUCCUGGCUCAGGACGAACGCUGGCGGCGUGCCUAACACAUGCAAGUCGAGCGGAGAUGCAGCAAUGUAUCUUAGCGGCGGACGGGUGAGUAACACGUGGGCAACCUGCCCUAUACAGGGGGAUAGCCACCCGAAAGGGUGAUUAAUACCGCAUAAUAAGUAGUUCUCACAUGGGAGCAACUUUAAAGGAGAAAUCCGGUAUAGGAGGGGCCCGCGGCCCAUUAGCUAGUUGGUGAGGUAAAGGCCCACCAAGGCGACGAUGGGUAGCCGACCUGAGAGGGUGAUCGGCCACAUUGGAACUGAGACACGGUCCAGACUCCUACGGGAGGCAGCAGUGGGGAAUAUUGGGCAAUGGGGGAAACCCUGACGCAGCAACGCCGCGUGAAGGAAGAAGGCCUUCGGGUCGUAAACUUCUGUCUUAGCUGACGAUAAUGACGGUAAGCUAGGAGGAAGCCACGGCUAACUACGUGCCAGCAGCCGCGGUAAUACGUAGGUGGCGAGCGUUGUCCGGAAUUACUGGGCGUAAAGGGUGCGCAGGCGGUAUCUUAAGUCAGAUGUGAAAUUCCGGGGCUCAACCCCGGAACUGCAUUUGAAACUGGGAUGCUAGAGUGCAGGAGAGGAAAGCGGAAUUCCUAGUGUAGCGGUGAAAUGCGUAGAUAUUAGGAAGAACACCAGUGGCGAAGGCGGCUUUCUGGACUGUAACUGACGCUGAGGCACGAAAGCGUGGGGAGCAAACAGGAUUAGAUACCCUGGUAGUCCACGCUGUAAACGAUGAGUGCUAGGUGUAGGGGGUAUCGACUCCCUCUGUGCCGCAGUAAACGCAAUAAGCACUCCGC
rnacentral:rRNA from 1 species